rnacentral:rRNA from 1 species
AGUUUGAUUAUGGCUCAGGAUGAACGCUGGCGGCGUGCCUAACACAUGCAAGUCGAACGAAGCAUACGGACUGGAGAUUCGUCGAAGGACUGUAUGACUUAGUGGCGGACGGGUGAGUAAUGUAUGAGCAACCUGCCUUUCAGAGGGGGACAACAGUUGGAAACGACUGCUAAUACCGCGUAACGUAUCGUGGGGGCAUCCUCGUGAUACCAAAGGAGCAAUCCGCUGAAAGAUGGGCUCAUAUCUGAUUAGCUUGUUGGCGGGGUAACGGCCCACCAAGGCGACGAUCAGUAGCCGGACUGAGAGGUUGAACGGCCACAUUGGGACUGAGAUACGGCCCAGACUCCUACGGGAGGCAGCAGUGGGGAAUAUUGGGCAAUGGGCGAAAGCCCUGACCCAGCAACGCCGCGUGAAGGAAGAAGGUCUUCGGAUUGUAAACUUCUUUUAUGAGGGACGAAGGACGUGACGGUACCUCAUGAAUAAGCCACGGCUAACUACGUGCCAGCCGCCGC